UCGGCGUCGGGGAAGAAGCCGGCACCCACCAGCGACACGGAGCACUGAGUGCAGGUGAAGCACGGCUGGUGCCACUGGCGGUCCUCGAACGAGAUGUACUUGCCUCCGCCGAACCCUGGAGAAAGAAAGAGUACACGGAGGCCUCGCACUUCUUGGCGUAGAGGCUUCCGAAGCACUUGAGGCAGUACGGGCUGUCGUCACGCGAGGUGAAGUGCUGGCCGGCCAGCUGUGUUUUACAGCCGCUGCAUACGAAACACUCCUUGUGCCACGGCUCGUCCCGGCGACGCACUUGGACGAGAACUCGUUGCAGUAGCAGUCGUUGCAGAGCAGCGCGUCCUCCUGGUUGGUGAAGGGCUCGUCCGCCAGUGAGCGGUCGCAGCGGAAACACCGGAAGCAGUGCUCGUGGUAGUGUCGGUUCUCGUAGAAGAGUUCCUGGAGCGGCGCGGAAUGGAAACGGCAUGCAAGGAACAAAAUAACACGGAAUGGUGUCCGCCUGAACAAAUGGACCUGAAUGACCAGAUGAUGCCAUUAAUUGUCACAGCAUGUGACUAAAACGGACCAAUCACGACAGACUAACUUCGCGGCUUCCCCCAGGCAUUGGGACAGGCUCUUGCUUCAACCCUAAAUGAAAUAAGCGGGAUUUAAAAAAACGGAUGGUGUUGAGGUCACCACACCUAUGAGAAAACCCGCAACAGGAUGAACAACCAGACAUUGCAACCUAAACCUGCUGUUGUCGCUGAGAACUUAAACAGCACCUGGAGUGAAGUGGGAGGCAACAGAGGCCUGACAUCCUAAAGAAAACAGUUUCACUGUCAUUACCCACUUGAGCAUUGAAGCGCCCCAGAAGAAUGUGACAGUCACCAGCAGAGGCGCCUUCCACCCCCCCCCUCCGAGGACACCAAGAAGGGUGGAUACUCUCACAUGCUGUUUGGUGCAGAGGCAAAACUGUCAAGGCACGUCCCUCCACCCGAAGGCGGAGGAAGGCUAACCUCUCAUCCACUGAGAUAACCCCAACGUACAGGCUCUGAGCUGGGGGGCAUGAUAUGUGCCCACAUGUGCUCAGCACCUCACACUGUGGGCAAGUCCAGAGAGGGGAAAAACUCCAACUCCAAAGGAGACCUACGUUGCCUCUUUGGGCCACCAUGGUUGCAGACCCAGCCACCAGGUACUUGCCAUUGAGCCCAGAGGGGGCCCAGGUGACUCGCAUCUGGGCGUCGUAAAAGAUUUUUCUCACCAUAAGGGGUCUUUGAGUCAUGUUUUGUCUGGUCCCACAACUACAACGUGCUUGCCAUGGAUGACCCUGCCACAGGCAUAAAACCUGGACAAGUUCACGCCUUGGAUCGUUGGAACAAACGGAUCGCUUCACCGCAAAAAGGUGACAGCUCAAUGAGGGUCUAAUAUUUUUAUAUUUUUCCAAAUUUUCAUCCGACACAUGUUUUUUCAAUGUUUCUUUCAGUUAAGUUUCUUUAUUAUCUACAGCAUUUCUGGCGGCUUAACGAGUUCCCGCCUAGGCAAGAGUUGCACAACAAGGACGGAAUUUAGACCAAAAAAAAACAAAACAAAACAAAAAAAGAAACACAGAUGCACGUUGAAACGUCUUGCUUGGCAUUCUCGCAAGUGCUGCAUGAUUUCACUGCAUGACUUCUGGUUCUUUGCAGCUGUGCACGCCAACACUUGUAAAUGUUGCCUGGGCAACCAAUCAACAAACUCGUCACUCAAGUUACCAUCAGGCCACAGAACGGCAACAUCCAGUAGGGGUGCAGUGGAAUUUUCUAACAAACAAGAUGCCUUGAAGCUAUAUUACAUUCCCACCGUCUUGUCGUGCUUAAAAAGUGACGCAUGGGUCUUAAUCGAGGGCUGCAUAACACAUGUUCGACCAAUAUUGCAAAAUAAAGGGAAUCGGCAACAACCUCUCAUGGUGACAAUACUACUCUCUAGGGAUGAAACGUAUUACGGUGAACCAUGAUCAUAUUUGCUUGGUCCGUACUUUAGAUUUAAAAAAAAAAAAAAGUGAUCAACCAACCAUUAUUUUAAUAAUCAAUUCAUCUCUUAAUUAUCUUUUUGAUUCAUCAAUGAAUCAGAUAAAAUGAUUUCUAAUUUCGAUCACUUUAAAAACAGGAUAUUAUUUCAAAUCAUCAUCCCGUGACCCUUGUGAGGAUAAGCAGCUAAGAAAAUGGAUGGAUGGAAACUUAAAUCUGUUAUGAUUCAGUUUGUCCAUAAUUUCUUUCCCAGAUUUUUUUCCAUGUAAAUAUUUAGUAUUUUCCAUGUUUCUUUUUGUAAUAUUUGUGUAUAUUUUGUCUAAUUGAUCAAUAAAGUACAUAGAAUUUUUCUUUUUUUAUACUUAAUUGUAAUAUCUUCCAAAUACAUUAAUUUUCUUCUAUUUAUUUUUUGUCUAUUUUGUCACUUUUUCACUAUUUUAAAAUCUGUCCAUUAUUUAUUUUUGUCUAAUAUUUUCAUUUUAUAUUUGCCCAUUUUUUUUCAAAUAUUUCAUUUUUUUUGUUCCAGUUUGAUUCAUUCAUUCAUUUUCUGUAGCACUUAUCCUCACGAGGGUUUUGUGGGCAUGCAGGAGCCUGUCCCAGCUAUCUUUUUGGGAAGAGGCGGAGUACACCUGGAACUGGUAUGAAGCGGGAGCUGACAGCGUGCCGCCCGGGUGUCACGUAGCCGUCAGUCGAGCACUGCGGGGCGGGCUUCGGUGUGGUGGUCGCUCCGGUCCGGUAUCCCCCGCCUGCUGCUGUUGCAAGUGGAAGAAAAGAGGAGGAAAAAAAAAAGACCAAAAAACUUUCUCCGACAUGAAAGCGGGCGGCGUGUUUCACUUCUGUCAUGACUCAAUCAGGCUGCGCCGAGUGGGCCUGUCCGCUCAUGUGUCACCCGCACGCAAGGAAAAGGUACAUUACGCCCGUUUGACUCAUUACGGUUGAACAAGGACACGCCGGGUGCACGCGGUGGUGUUGACAGUAACCCCGCCCCGUUUGAUAACAUUGUUCCGCGGUUCGUCAUGACGGCAUGAAAUCGUUGUGGGAUUCGGCGCUAAUCACAUGCCGCCGUUUGCAAGUCACCGAGGAUGUUUGCCUCCUUGGUUUUCCCGAUGGGUCACUGUGUAAACUUGAAGUUUAAUUGAACAGAAUUACAAUUCCAAGAUCAGGAAAACAAAAUACAAUGAAUCAUAAAUCAUCAAUCAUUCAUAUACCAGCAGCGUCAAGACUCCAUCCAAGCUCUGUUUCUUCUUUCUUGGCGUUUGGGUUGGUUUGUCUUGAGAUUGAUGAUUAACCCAACUGAUGUCAAAAGCAUGAUUUUUUUUUUUUUUUUUUUUAGUAUGUUUUUAACCCUCUCUGGACCAAAUAAAUUUUUUCAGAGAGAAAAAUCCAAUACUUUCAGAAAAUGAUACUCUGGACUUAAAAUGUUCGAUUAUAUUAAACCUGUUGCAGAUUUGCAACCCCUGCCCGGAAAGGGUUAAUUAAAAAAAAAUUAAUAAAUAAAAAGGCAGUCGGUAUGGACCCAUCCGUUUUUUUCACCGUGCAACAUGAUUUUGACGUAUACGGCUUUUUGUAACUCCCGCCAUGAAAAUCCUCUCGAGGGAUUUGUUUUCGAGAAGAAGCAGGAAGUGACGUAUAGGGCAAGUAGCGCACUCAAGCGGUCUCGUCUGUUUAUAGUAGUUUUACCUGCUGGAAGGUAGCUCUUUGUUCCUUCUUGUUAGCCAAAAUGCCAGCUUGUUUUAUUGCUGGAUAUUGCUCGAACACUCAGGAGGAUGGAUUUACUCUUCAUAUGUUUCCAAAAGACCCGGUUUGUCGUGAAAAAUGGAUUGCAUGGGUGCAAAGGACGAGAGCUUCGUAGGUUCCAAAUGACAGGUAGGUGUGUAUGGAGCUUAAUUAAAUUCAUUAUUUAAAAAAAUAGUAGUCUGUAGGGACGACGUAAUCCUUCUUUCAGCGAGUGAUGACAAUGCUCGCGGCGCCGCGGUGGCUCAUCGCGGCCGGGCCACUUUACAACGUUGUCGUCGCUCGUGGCUGAGUACGCUACAUACGGUCAUAUGUACUGUCGGCGAGUCUGCUGUUAGUUGGAAGUGAUCCGCAUAUCAUCUAAAUAUGGCUCGAAACGAUCGGGUAUUAUUCCCCCAGUCACUUCCCUCGAGAUGUUCUCUUCUUCGAAAAGAGCUUCCGUGUCAGAAGGGGCGUUGGAAAAAACUGAAAAUCUGUUGUUCCUCUCCCAUAGCAGGUGCCACCGUGACGUCUGCCGAUGAUGUUGCAGGCAAUAUGGCGACCACUUGGAUGUCAAGUAAGACUUCGGCAACUUUCCGCGUGGAUGACACUCUGUCUGCUGAUAUUUUUCAUAGAGACAUUGACGUGAAUAAUGUUAUAUGUAUUUUUCAUGACAACAUCUAUUUUAGAAUGUUUAUAGGCACGUCACUUGGGCUUCAAUGUGCGUUUGUUACGGUAGUGUGCCCGUUGUUACCUGAAGGUCUUCUCGGCUUCAUUACUUCAACAUUUUGUUGAUCAGUUUCAUCGCACGACUGGACACUUUAAAUGGCUCGAGGAUUCUCUGUACCAUUUGCAGAAUUUACAUCGUAUCGGGGUUGUCGCACCGCUGGUCAGUUUACAUCCCCGAUUACACAAGAUCAAUACAAAGAAACUUUACGGGUACCUGAAAGAUUUACUGAAGAACUGAAAAAAGAUAUUUCUUCUGCGAUGUACAAACACACGCAAAGGUUUGAGGGUCCAUGAGUUUUAACUAAAGAUUCACUUCUACAAUAUCUCACAUUAUUAGCCUUGUCAGACUUUAAUCAAUCAACAUUUCAGACUUUAUUAAAUCAAUGAGGGCUGAGGACUAAGAUGACAUCAUUGAGCCCAAAGAUUGUCUGAACUGAACACAUCAGUCUUUUCAGGCACAGUACGUUUUAAAAUAAACUGUCUCCGUUCCAAACAUCGACAUGUUCAAGAUGACGAGCGAAGGAAAAGCCAGCCAUCAUCCGGAGUGGAAAAAGCAAUAAAAUCCUCUCGGUCCAUUCGUAAGAAGAAGAUAUAUCUCCUGGUGAGCCUCAACGAGCCUUCAGGGAAGGAGCUGCUGUGCGAAAACGGGGACUUGUAGGCGGCCUCAGCCAAAGCUAGGUCUUAGUUCUUUUGAGCGGGGGCUUCGGCCUUGGAGGGGGACUCAAAUGGAUCUUUAAGGAGGAUGCAAAACAAGAGCGCUUGAAGAAGACCUCAAGAGGUUCCUCCUUGACCCUCAUACUUGAAAGUAGGGGGGAAGAUUACUCAAUGAUGGUUGGACUGUGAAUUAUCAAAAGCACAAUGCAUUUUUUCUUCUUCCCUUUUGUUGUUGUAACGUUAUUAUGUUAUAAUUUCAUGUAAAUGAACAACAUCGGGUCUAACCCGCCUCCUCGCAGCGCAGCACUGGAUUUGCACUCGUCACGAAAAAAAAGAGCCCCCCCAGAAAGAUCAUUUUCAUACUAUUAUAACUUUCUUACAUUCUCGUAACUUUAUAACUAUGCUCAUCGCGACCUUGUGUAAUGUAAAUGACCUUAUUCUCGCAACAUUUAAAUUUUUCUUCCAUUUUUAACGCUGUAUUUUUGUCACGUUGCGCCUUUAUUCUCAUGUUACGGCUGGAAAAUUUAUUCCCGUUACCGUGCAAAUUUUUUUUCGUUUAACUUCAUUGGUGGAACCUUCUGACCUAAAUAAUGCAACUGUAUUCACGAAACAUUAACUAUUAUAAUUGUACGCCAUUCCCGUAAUAUUCUGAAUUCAAACUCAUCGCUUUCACUUUUGUUUUCACAGUAUUAUCUUUUCUCAAAGCAUGACUUUGUAUCAUAUUUUAACAUUAUUCUUGUACAAUUCGGCUUGUAACAUGCUGACUUUAUUCUCUUUGGAUGGUAGCUGUUUUUUUUCUUCCUAACUUUAGUUCCAUAACUACAGAAGCGUAUUACUGCCACACCAAAAAAAAAAAAAAAGUUGCGUUUCACAUAAUAAUCUGAAACUAUUCACAUACUAAUGUGAAACGUGACCCUUUUUUUUGGGGUGUGUGGCAGUAAUACGCUUCUGUACAUAACAUUUCAACUUACAGUGCAAUAUAAUUCUCCACUGUAUAAAAAGAAAACAAAUUACAAUGAUGCAAUAAGUUUGUAUUGAAGUCCAAAACCUGUGACGUAAAUUCAUGACGUUACAACAAUUUAACAUUCGCUUUUUAAGAUUAAGAUUUUAUUACAUGGAUUACAGAAUGUAUUUUGGUUCUGCCUUGCCGAUGCUGUCGUUAAUUUGCCUGCACCGAAAGUCAUGUCAUGUCAUUAUCCAAGCUGCUUAUCCUCAGAAGGGUUGCGGGAAAGCUGGAGCCUACCCCAGCUAGCUUCGGGCGAAAGGCUGACUAUGCCUUGAACUGGUCGCUAGUAAGUCACAGGGCAGAUAUCGACACCAUCACUGAGCGGGAAUCGAUCUCACCCUGCCUGCACCAAGGGCAGGCGUGUGUACCACUACACCAUCAGUGAUGAACAGUAAUGAGCAUCAUGACCCCCAAGCGGUCGACUAAUUGACCAAUCAGUUUAAAGCUGUAAAUCAAUAACGCGAAGGGGCGACUUGUACCACUGUAAUGACUACGAGGUAUUUGCUGCUGUCCGUUCCAGUAACCCGUCCUCAGAACGCCAUCACGUGACUUUUAAAUGGCAACUUUUCUCGCGCUUGAGCCCGAUGCCACCCAAGGCGUUUCCACAUCACGGUGUAAUGCGCACUUUCAAAACUCAAGCCGGGAAAAUGAGCAGUACAUUUGCACUUAAUUGCAGACAAUCUCUCCUUUACAAGAUUCUGCGGUUUUAGAGGCUCGGUGAGAAAAUCCCAUCCGGGGAAUGCGCCUACCGGAGCGGCCGGCAACCGACGGGCAUCGAACCGGCGGCUGGCAAAGGCCAGUGAGCUGUGGAACAAAUGUGUUGUACCAGGUUGUGUGAAAGAGUGUAUUUGAAUCCAUCCAUCCAUUUUCUUUGCCGCUUAUCCUCAUAAGGGGCGCAAGGAGUACUGCAGCCUAUCUCAGCUGUCAACGAGCAGGAGGCGAGGUACACCCUGAACUGUCAUCUCAUUAUCCAAGCUGCUUAUCCUCACAAGCGUCACGGGGAGUUCUGGAGCCUAUCCCAGCUGUCAACGGGCAGGAGGCGGGCUACACCCUGAACUGGUUGCCAGCCAAUCGCAGGGCACAUAGAGACAAACAUCCAGACUCACAAUCAUUAUUAACAUAGUAAUAAUCAAACAGAAGAGCUUGUCUUCACAAGUCUACUUUGCCCAUUGAAACGAAUGAAAAUGAAACCAAUCUGUUCCAGCAGUUUAGCAUUUGGUAAUUUAACAAUCCAUUUUCUUUGCCGUUUAGCCUCACUAGGAUCACGAGGAGUUCAUGCCUGAAAACGCCAAUUUUUGUCAGUACUUAUCCUGGUCAAAAAUGUCCUGCUUUGAGAUUUUAGGGGUUUUGAACUCACUCGGUUGCGACUCCUGGAUCGUUUUAAAUACUCACGACGCCGCUUUCACCGAUUGAUACUAAAUUGUGCGGAAGCGUCUGUUGUAGCAGGAUGCAUGAAAAUCGUCAAAGAACCCAUGUGAAAUUGAACCGAAGUCAGCCAUUUUGGUUUAGGAAGCAAUUUGGGGCGAGUUCCGGGAUUCAAACGUUCAUGGACUCCAACUGGGAAAUUCAACCAAACGAGCCCCGGCGGGGAGCAGGGACAUUACCAUGUCAAUGUUGAUAGCUGGCCAAAACAAAUGUUGAUUGUAAUUGAAAUAUACAGUAUUUGUAGUAUGAAUUGACUUAAUAUUCUUAAAAUAAUGUCAUGAGCAAGUCUUGGCCACUGCCAAGAUGGGCAUGGCCAGGCCACUGCUCUGGGUGGUGACACCUGUCACCGCUCACAGCUGUUUCAUAUUAGGACUGUAAUUAGACGGGCAUUUAAGUCCAAUUUUUGUCACUAGCAUUUGCUAGUUUGUUGCUUUGUGUUAGCGUGUAUGCUUCUCCGCAUCCCGGGUUACCCCGCAACUUAGCUUCAUCGUCAUCAAACUGUGUUUCUGUUUUUUUGGGUCCUGCUUCCUUGGACUGCGUAAUUGUGCAUCUUUUUAGUUCCGAAUAAAACCCACUGAAUACUAUGCCUUUGCCUGGAAGUCCUGCAUGUGGGUCCGCCUCCGCACCACCAGGAUGUGACAAAUAAGGUAUUUUCUCUUAAAACAAAUUUUUUUGUCUCGCUUAAAAUUUAGGAAAAAAAGAGUCAAAACCGUCCUACAA